ensembl:snRNA U6 U6 spliceosomal RNA
GUGCUCACUUUGGCAGUACAUAUACUAAAGCUGGAAUAAUACAGAGAAGAUGAGCAUGGCUCCUGCACAAGUAUGAUAAGCAAAUUUAUGGAGCAUUCCCAAUUUUU